GACGAACGCUGGCGGCGUGCUUAACACAUGCAAGUCGAACGGUGAAGCGCCUUCCUUUUUGGUGGGUGUGGAUGAGUGGCGAACGGGUGAGUAACACGUGAGUAACCUGCCCCCUUCUUCUGGAUAACCGCAUGAAAGUGUGGCUAAUACGGGAUAUUCUGGGUCUGUCGCAUGAUGGGUCUGGGAAAGAUAUUGUUUCGGUCGGGGAUGGGCUCGCGGCCUAUCAGCUUGUUGGUGGGGUGAUGGCCUACCAAGGCGGUGACGGGUAGCCGGCCUGAGAGGGUGGACGGUCACACUGGGACUGAGACACGGCCCAGACUCCUACGGGAGGCAGCAGUGGGGAAUAUUGCACAAUGGGCGCAAGCCUGAUGCAGCGACGCCGCGUGAGGGAUGGAGGCCUUCGGGUUGUGAACCUCUUUCGCCAGUGAAGCAGGCCUGCCUCGUUUGUGGGUGGGUUGACGGUAGCUGGAUAAGAAGCGCCGGCUAACUACGUG
rnacentral:rRNA from 1 species